rnacentral:misc_RNA from 1 species
CGAUGAUUAUUGAAUGCACGACAAUGAUAUGAAAAUGAUGAAGUUAGAUUUGACGGUUUAAUUACCCAAGUUUGAGGUAAUUGAAUGUUUCGGCCCAGAGUUUCGGCUACUGUGGCUUGAAGUAAAAUUUUGGAACGUCCUGCAAUUUUGUGGGACAACAA